CCCCGCCCCCUGCUGGGCCUCUCUCCGCAGCCGCGAGACCCGCGCUUGGCGCAUAGGCCGGUUCUAAUUUACAAGAACACCGCGGCCUGAGGCCGGAGAGUCCCUUCAACCCGGGAGGCGGCGGCUGCAGGGAGCCGAGACGGCGCCAUUGCCCUCCAGCCUGGGCAAAAAGAGCGAAACUCCGUCUCAAAAAAAAAAAAACAUGGCCGAAACCAGGAAGCUGCGCGAUGGCGCCACGGCCCCUCUUCUCCCGGCCUGUGUCCGGAAGGUUUCCCUCCGAGGCGCCCCGGCUCCCGCAAGCGGAGGAGAGGGCGGGACGUGCCGGGGCCGGAGCUCAGAGGCCCUGGGGCCGCUCUGCUCUCCCGCCAUCGCAAGGGCGGCGCUGACCUGAGGCCUCCCCGCAAAGGUCCCCGAGGCGGCGGCGGCGGCGGGCUGUGAGAACCGCAGAAGAACGCUGGGCGCGCAGCGACCCGUCCACCCCCGCGAGGAGAGACUUCCACAGAGGCAGCGUUUCCACAGCCCAAAGCCACGUUUCUAGGGUGAUGCAGCCCCAGUAAGUUCCUGGCGGGGAAGCUCACGGCUGUCAAAAGAACUCUUCGCUCCAGCCGGCGCACGAAGGGGAGGAGGGCAGGAGGCUGCCGCCCGCACAGGUCAUCUGAUCACGUCGCCCGCCCUAGUCUGCUUUUGUGAAUCUCCACUUUGUUCAACCCCCACCCGCCGUCUCUCCCUCCCUGCGCCUUCCCUCUAACCUUAAAGACCCAGCUACCUCUACGCAAAUGGUAGCUACCUCUGCGCAGGUGGAAGUUGAGUUCGGUUCACGCGGGACCCUCUUCCCUGUGGCAAGCUGCUGAAGGAGACCUGCUGUUACUGCUUUAGCUGCUGUUCUGCUUAAUCUCAGACAGCUGGAAGGUAGUAUUCCGCCCUCACCCAGCCACCCGAGUAAAUGAGAAUGAUGACUGACUGAGACCCUGAUGGUGGUGGCUUAGGCAAGAUGAACGUCUGAAAUGGAGGCCCAGGGCUGCCACGAUGGCUCUGUAGUCAUCAGGGAGGGAGCUCCUUUUAUCUUGUUACCUACUCCCCUCUUGUGCCCCUUUCUUCCCUUGAUCUAAGAAGGUUGCUCCGGAUCUCGCCAUCUGGCCUGCGUUCAAUCAGCAGAAGCUUCCUGGAGGAGCAGGAGGAGGCACUGUGCUCGCAUCACAUACCAGUGGCCAGAAGUUGGCUUCAGGGAAGCUCAGGAAAUAGGAUGCGAGAAGCCAUGAGACCUCCCCAAACUCUGCAGUAACAGAGUCAACAAGACAAUGGCUUAAAGAUGGAGAGACCAGUUGAUCGGUCACACAAGCUGUUCCACGAUAAUUCUUGUGUCAGAAGGGGAGGCUGACUACCAGGACCACUGGCCCCACUUCCAGCCCCUCCAUUCUGAGUACACUUCAGAGGGCUCUGGCAGGGUGAGGGGGUCUUGGUGGUGCCACAGAGAGUAAAGGUCUAGCACACCCAUUGUGGAGAUAUUUCAUGGGGACAACCCAGUGACUUCACUUGAAGUAAAGUGGGAUUUUCCAACCUUGAGAUUCUUAUUUUCUUUGGUAUGCGUGUGGAAGAAGUAUGAAGGUGGGGGUUGGGAGGGAGAGCAAAUGAGCUGUGUGUAUGAGGAGCUGGGGCCUGGCUCUUGACAAUAUC
rnacentral:lncRNA from 1 species